rnacentral:rRNA from 1 species
AAUAAUAAAUUUUGUGCCAGCAAUUGCGGUUAAACAAAAAUUUAAAUUGAAUUAAAAAAUUAUAAGAAAUUAAAAUAAAUAUUUAAUAAAAAAUAAAAUUAAAUUUUUAAGUGAAAUUUUAAAAUUUUUUAAAAUUUUUUUAUAAAAAGACUUUAAAAAAUUUAAAAAAAUUAGAUUAAAACUAGAAUUAGAUACUCUAUUAUUCUUUUUAAUAAUAAAAAAUAUAAGGAAUUAAAAUUUAAUUUAUUAAAAUUUAAUUAAUUUGGCGGUAUUUUUUCCUAAUUAGAGGAAUUUGUUCUAUAAAUGAUAAUUCACAAAAAUUUUACUUUAAUUUAUAAUAUUAUAAUUUAUAUAUCGUUAUUAUAAAAAUUUAUUUAAAGAUUUAAAAAAAUUUUUAAUUUUUUAUUAAAAAAUAUAUUAAAUCAAGGUGUAAUUUAUAUUAAAGAAAGAAAUGAAUUACAAUAAAAUUAAUUUUUGAAUUAAAUAAUGAAAUUUAAUUAUAAAAGUGGAUUUAAAAGUAAAUUUAAUUAAUAAAAAUUAAUUGAUUAAAGUUUAAAAAUAUGUACAUAUUGCCCGUCAUUUUCAUUAUAAAUUAUAUAAAAUAUAUGAAACAAGUCGUAACAAAGUAGAAGUAUUGGAAAAUGUUUCUG